AAAAAGAUGAUGAGAACUAAAUAUUAUACAAGAAGAAAGAGAAAAAGCAAGAAAAAAAAAAAAAAAAAAAAAAAAAACUGAAACUUGAAAUAAAGUGGCGAAAGAUAUUUCAAAUUUCUUUAUACAAUAUUUUUCUUUUUUCUUUUUCCUUUUAGAAGAUAUAAUCUUAAUUAUAUUUUAUAAAAUAAAUUAAAAAAAAAAUAUAAUUGUAAAAUCUUCUUAACAAGAACAAAUAUAAAAUAUUUGUAUUCCUAUUAUUUCAUUAGAUGAAAUAAUAAUUUACAAACUUGAUAAAAUAAAAAUAAUAAAAAAAUAAAAUAUAUCUUUAUGAAUAUUAGAGAUAAUUUUUAUAUAUUUUAUUUUUUUUUUAUUUAUCAAAACAACAAAAGGAAAAAAAAAAAAGGAAAAUACAAAUAUAUAAAUAUAUAUAUAUAUAUAUAUAUAUAUGUAUAUACAUAUUUGUCAAUUGGACAAAAUUGUUUGCUCCUUAGACAAUAUGAAUUUUUUUUUUCUUUUUUUUUGCUUCUUCUCAUUUCUACUAUCAUGAUUGAAGAAUAAAACAAUCUUUGGUAAUCUGAUUUUUAAUGA